AUGCUCACUUCAGCAGCACAUAUACUAAAAUUGGAAUGAUACAGAGAAGAUUAACAUGGCCCCUGUGCAAGGAUGACACGCAAAUUCGUGAAGCAUUCCAUAUAUGU
rnacentral:snRNA from 1 species